rnacentral:rRNA from 1 species
UACAUGGGGUGCAAACGUUGCUCGGAAUUAUUGGGCGUAAAGCGCGCGUAGGCGGUUACUUAAGUCGGAUGUGAAAGCCCUCGGCUUAACUGAGGAAGUGCACCCGAAACUGAGUAGCUAGAGUACGAAAGAGGGUCGCGGAAUUCCCGGUGUAGAGGUGAAAUGCGUAGAUAUCAGGAGGAACACCGGUGGUGUAGACGGCUUUCUGGACCGUAACUGACGCUGAGACACGAAAGCGUGGGUAGCAAACAGG